CAGGCAGGGCAGACAGCCGCCGCGUGGCAACACGGGGAGGAAAGUCCGGGCUGCACAGGGCAGGAUGCCGGCUAACGCCGAAAGGUACGGCAACGUAACGGAAAGUGAAGCAGAAAGCCAAACCGCCGACGGCUUCCGCAAGGAAGAUUCGGGCAAGGGUGAAAAGGUGCGGUAAGAGCGCACCGCGCGCUUGGCAACAAUGCGCGGCAGGUCAAACCCCAUCCGCAGCAAGAGCAAACAGAACGCAUUGACGCGAGCCGCCGAGCGUUCGGGUAGCUUGCUUGAGCCUGCCGGCAACGGCAGCGCAAGAGAAUGGCUGUCCACGACAGAACCCGGCUUACCGCCCAGCCUGUUUU
rnacentral:RNase_P_RNA from 1 species